CACGUAGGGGGCAAGCGUUGUCCGGAUUUAUUGGGCGUAAAGAGCUCGUAGGUGGCUGAGUAAGUCAGACGUGAAAUCCCCAGGCUCAACCUGGGAACUGCGUCUGAUACUGGAUGGCUUGAAUCCGGGAGAGGGAUGCAGAAUUCCAGGUGUAGCGGUGAAAUGCGUAGAUAUCUGGAGGAAUACCGGUGGCGAAGGCGGCAUCCUGGACCGGCAUUGACACUGAGGAGCGAAAGCCAGGGGAGCAAACGGG
rnacentral:rRNA from 1 species